rnacentral:rRNA from 1 species
AUGGUAGGAUAGAGGCCUACCAUGGUGGUAACGGGUAACGGGGUGUUAGGGCACGACACCGGAGAGGGAGCCUGAGAAACGGCUACCACAUCCAAGGAAGGCAGCAGGCGCGCAAAUUACCCAAUCCCGACACGGGGAGGUAGUGACAAUAAAUAACAAUACAGGGUUCUUUAGGAUUUUGUAAUUGGAAUGAGUACAAUUUAAAUCUCUUAACGAGGAACAAUUGGAGGGCAAGUCUGGUGCCAGCAGCCGCGGUAAUUCCAGCUCCAAUAGCGUAUAUUAAAGUUGUUGCAGUUAAAAAGCUCGUAGUUGAAUUUCGGGAUCAAUACGUCGGUCGUGCUUCGGUACGUACUGGCGUCAUUGAUUUCUCCCUUCUGACGAACCAUGAUGUCAUUAACUUGGUGUCAUGGGAAAUCAGGACUGUUACUUUGAAAAAAUUAGAGUGUUUAAAGCAGGCUCACGCUUGAAUACAUUAGCAUGGAAUAAUGAAAUAGGACGUUCGAUCCUAUUUUGUUGGUUUUUAGGAUCAACGUAAUGAUUAAUAGGGAUAGUCGGGGGCAUUAGUAUUCAAUUGUCAGAGGUGAAAUUCUUGGAUUUAUUGAAGACUAACUACUGCGAAAGCAUUUGCCAAGGAUGUUUUCAUUAAUCAAGAACGAAAGUUAGGGGAUCGAAGACGAUCAGAUACCGUCGUAGUCUUAACCAUAAACUAUGCCGACUAGGGAUCGGAUGAUGUUAAUUUUUUAAUGACUCAUUCGGCGCCUUACGGGAAACCAAAG